CGCACCCUGCGGUGCACGAAGCGGGCUGGAGAUCCCUUUGAGCCUAAACGCGUCGCCUGGGGGCGCGCUGUUCGGCGCCAGUGUGCAGGUCCGCCCGCGAGCGGAAAGCCUUCGGUGACGACGGUGCCCCCACUUGAACCUCUGGUUCAAGGGCGAUGGCCCGCUACGGCACAUGCGGGGGGCGC
rnacentral:other from 1 species